rnacentral:rRNA from 1 species
UACGGAGGGUGCGAGCGUUGUUCGGAAUCACUGGGCGUAAAGCGCACGUAGGCGGAUUGUUAAGUCAGGGGUGAAAUCCUGGAGCUCAACUCCAGAACUGCCUUUGAUACUGGCGAUCUCGAGUCCGGGAGAGGUGAGUGGAACUGCGAGUGUAGAGGUGAAAUUCGUAGAUAUUCGCAAGAACACCAGUGGCGAAGGCGGCUCACUGGCCCGGUACUGACGCUGAGGUGCGAAAGCGUGGGGAGCAAACAGG